rnacentral:rRNA from 1 species
GACGAACGCUGGCGGCGCGCCUAAUACAUGCAAGUAGAACGCACAGUUUAUACCGUAGCUUGCUACACCAUAAACUGUGAGUUGCGAACGGGUGAGUCACGCGUAUGUAACCUGCCUGGGAGCGGGGGAUAACUAUUGGAAACGAUAGCUAAUACCGCAUAAUAUUGAUUAUUGCAUGAUAAUUGAUUGAAAGAUGCUAUUGCUUCACUACCAUCUGGACCUGCGUUGUAUUAGCUAGUAGGUGAGGUAACGGCUCACCUAGGCGACGAUACAUAGCCGACCUGAGAGGGUGAUCGGCCACACUGGGACUGAGACACGGCCCAGACUCCUACGGGAGGCAGCAGUAGGGAAUCUUCGGCAAUGGACGAAAGUCUGACCGAGCAACGCCGCGUGAGUGAAGAAGGGUUUCGGAUCGUAAAGCUCUGUUGUAAGAGAAGAACGGGUGUGAGAGUGGAAAGUUCACACUGUGACGGUAUCUUACCAGAAAGGGACGGCUAACUACGUG